GAUGAACGCUGGCGGCGUGCCUAAUACAUGCAAGUCGAGCGAACAGACGAGGAGCUUGCUCCUCUGACGUUAGCGGCGGACGGGUGAGUAACACGUGGAUAACCUACCUCUAAGACUGGGAUAACUUCGGGAAACCGGAGCUAAUACCGGAUAAUAUAUUGAAUCGCAUGGUUCAAUAGUGAAAGACGGUUUUGCUGUCACUUAUAGAUGGAUCCGCGCCGCAUUAGCUAGUUGGUAAGGUAACGGCUUACCAAGGCAACGAUGCGUCGCCGACCUGAGAGGGUGAUCGGCCACACUGGAACUGAGACGCGGUCCAGACUCCUACGGGAGGCAGCAGUAGGGAAUCUUCCGCAAUGGGCGAAAGCUUGACGGAGCAACGCCGCGUGAGUGAUGAAGGUCUUCGGAUCGUAAAACUCUGUUAUUAGGGAAGAACAAAUGUGUAAGUAACUAUGCACGUCUUGACGGUACCUAAUCAGAAAGCCACGGCUAACUACGUG
rnacentral:rRNA from 1 species